AUUAUUUUGGAAAUAAUCUAUUAGUGUACAUAAGUAUGCAAAUUUUGAUAUUUUCAGAUGAUACCAUUAUAUCCAUUUUCUUAAUUUGCAAUAAAAUAAUAAGAUGCCAAACAUGACCUGUGUUACAUAAACAGUCAACAAAAUAACAAGACAAUACCUAUAAACACCCCUUUUCACACCACUAACAAUAAACAGAUAACAAUCUGUCAGGCAUUCAGAGCUAAACAUGAGGGUACUGAUUAUCAGGGGCAGAUAAGGCUACUGAUAGGGUUUGCCCAGACAUAAGGCUGGAAUGAGGUAUAAGACUUCUGAUUGGUUCAAUUUUUUGCACAGGAAAUUAUUUGAAAACAACAACUUUUGAAAAACAAGCUGGUUUCAGCAAUUGAAUUGAGCUUAAUUAAAUUAACAUUAAGACUUAUAAUUGUUCUGUAAAAUGUAUUGAAAAACUGUCAGCAUGAAGUAUUGUGUGAUGAAAACAAUGUGUAUUUUACUACAAUUUGGAAAUCAACAAUAAGUUUGUUGGAAAAGAAGUUCAACUGUUUUUUUUUGGAAUACUGAAGAACAGUUUUAACAGGUUAAACUCUUGCCCCAAGAGCAAAAGGGGUAAUCAUACUACCUGAUGUAUGGACUUUUACACCAGGCUUUUACCCUGCACGAGCUGGCCAACUUGAGGGGAACUGAAGUGGGCAAACCUCGCCCUCACAGUCCUUGAACAAUAAAGCUGGAUUUGUUGAGAGAGUAUCAUUUAAGCUGAAAUCCAGCAUGAAACCAGGGAGGUGAUGGCCAUCGCACAUGCCAUGUGCCGACUAUUCACUUUCCACCAGCUUGUGACUAAUGCUCCAUGAAGGGAGCAACAACUACAACUGGGUCACCAAGACCAAGCCUCCCCGCCGCUGAGAGAA